rnacentral:rRNA from 1 species
AUUGAACGCUGGCGGCAUGCUUUACACAUGCAAGUCGAACGGUAACAGCACUUCGGUGGCUGACGAGUGGCGCACGGGUGAGUAAUACAUCGGAACGUGCCUAGGAGUGGGGGAUAUCUACUCGAGAGAGUAGCUCAUACAGCAUGAGCUCUAAGGAUGAAAGCAGGGGACCUCCGGGCCUUGCGCGACUACAGAGGCGGAUGGCAGAUUAGGUAGAUGGUGGGAUAAAAGCGUACCAAGCCGACGAUCUGUAGCUGGUCUGAGAGGACGACCAGCCACACUGGGACUGAGACACGGCCCAGACUCCUACGGGAGGCAGCAGUGGGGAAUUUUGGACAAUGGGCGCAAGCCUGAUCCAGCAAUGCCGCGUGCAGGAUGAAGGCCUUCGGGUUGUAAACUGCUUUUGUACGGAACGAAAAGCCCUCUUCUAAUACAGGAGGGUCAUGACGGUACCGUAAGAAUAAGCACCGGCUAACUACGUG